GACUGGGUCCCUGGCGGCGAGGAUCGUCGAACCGUGUCAGGGUCGGAAGGCAGCAGCACUAAGGCGUACACCUUGGGUGCCCAGGAUAACCUGGUUGUC
rnacentral:SRP_RNA from 1 species